GAGGAAUAUUGGUCUAUGGGGGAGAGCCUGAACCAGCCAAAUCGCGUGAAGGAAGACUGCGUUAUGGGUUGUAAACUUCUUUUAUACGGGAAUAAAAAGGGGACGUGUCCCUUAUUGCAUGUACUGUAUGAAUAAGCAUCGGCUAACUCCGUGCCAGCAGCCGCGGUAAUACGGAGGAUGCGAGCGUUAUCCGGAUUUAUUGGGUUUAAAGGGUGCGCAGGCGGGCUUUUAAGUCAGCGGUGGAAAUCUGGACGCUUAACGUCCAAACUACCGUUGAAACUGGGAGUCUUGAGUAUGGAUGAAGUAGGCGGAAUUCGUUGUGUAGCGGUGACAUGCAUAGAUAUAACGAGGAACUCCGAUUGCGUAGGCAGCUUACUAAGCCAUAACUGACGCUCAUGCACGAAAGCGUGGGGAUCAAACA
rnacentral:rRNA from 1 species